GUUUAUAUAUUUUUUAUGGCCUACUGUCUAUUUAUUUGUGUGUAUGUGCAAUUUAAACUAUGGCUGGCUGGCUGCACAUGCUCUAAAGAGUAUCAUCAUCUUAUUGGUUCUAUAAACUUGAAAUUCUGUAAUAUUCUUGGACCUCUCAGUUUUUCAGUGAUUAUAAUGGCUUUUAUUAUUGGGAACAAGGUGAGCCUGGAGAGUGGAUGGUUAUUAUAGGGCUGUCAAAGCUUUUACCUGUUUUCUUCAAUAAGAGUCUCCGUUAUAGUGGACCAGUUCUACUAUACAAUUCUCUAUAGAUAAAAAGCUACAAAACAAGUUUUCUUAUAGUGGAUAUUUUUUGUCUU
rnacentral:misc_RNA from 1 species